GAUGAAGAACGUAGCGAAAUGCGAUAAGUAGUGUGAAUUGCAGAAUUCAGUGAAUCAUCGAAUCUUUGAACGCACAUUGCGCCCUUUGGUAUUCCUUAGGGCAUGCCUGUUCGAGCGUCAUUUAAACCUUCAAGCUAAGCUUGGUGUUGGGUGACUGUCCGCUUCACGGCGGACUCGCCUCAAAAUUAUUGGCGGCCGGUACAUUGGCUUCGAGCGCAGCAGAAACGCGAACUCGGGCCCGUCGUAUUGGCUCCCAGAAGCUAUCUUCACAAUUUUGACCUCGGAUCAGGUAGGGAUACCCGCUGAACUCAAGCAUAUCAAUAAGCGGAGGA
rnacentral:misc_RNA from 1 species